rnacentral:rRNA from 1 species
ACGGGUGAGUAACGCGUGGGAACGUGCCUUCCGGUUCGGAAUAACCCUGGGAAACUAGGGCUAAUACCGGAUACGCCCUUAUGGGGAAAGGUUUACUGCCGGAAGAUCGGCCCGCGUCUGAUUAGCUAGUUGGUGGGGUAACGGCCUACCAAGGCGACGAUCAGUAGCUGGUCUGAGAGGAUGAUCAGCCACACUGGGACUGAGACACGGCCCAGACUCCUACGGGAGGCAGCAGUGGGGAAUAUUGGACAAUGGGCGCAAGCCUGAUCCAGCCAUGCCGCGUGAGUGAUGAAGGCCUUAGGGUUGUAAAGCUCUUUUAUCCGGGACGAUAAUGACGGUACCGGAGGAAUAAGCCCCGGCUAACUUCGUGCCAGCAGCCGCGGUAAUACGAAGGGGGCUAGCGUUGCUCGGAAUCACUGGGCGUAAAGGGCGCGUAGGCGGCGUUUUAAGUCGGGGGUGAAAGCCUGUGGCUCAACCACAGAAUGGCCUUCGAUACUGGGACGCUUGAGUAUGGUAGAGGUUGGUGGAACUGCGAGUGUAUAGGUGAAAUUCGUAGA